UCUAGUUACCAUCUGUCAACACACAAAGGUAUUACAUUAUUAUUGACUGUAUUUCCCACACUGUACAUUUCGUACUCAUGACUCAUGUAUUUUGUAGCUGGAAGUGUGCACCUCUUAAUCUCCCUCACCUAUUUCUCUCCUAUUUCAAUGGGGUUUUAAAAUAAGGGUGGUUCUAGUAUUAAUUACUUUAAAAAAUUAUGAUAUAUUUACUGUUACAAGUAUAGAUAACAAAACAAAAACAUCAGUAUGUCUUUCAUAGGGAAUUAUAAAUAAAAUCCAAAUUAAUAUAGUUUUUUGGGGGGAUAUGGGAUGCAGAUGAGUAAAUUUAAUGAAUAUACAGGGUGAAUUAUUGGGUUAAAAUAAGGAGAAAAGCAGUUACGUGUAUUUCUCCGUUGACUUCUGUAUUGCUAUGUAUUCUUAUCCACUAACUCCUGCAUCCUUUCAGGAGAGGGGAUUUGUGUCCACUUUUAGGCACUGCAAUUGCUGCAAACAUAGACAAGUCCCUGUAGGAAGACUCCUGCAUGGAUGUGCUUCUCCAUCCCAUGGACUCAUGACAUUGGAAGGAGGAAGAGAGCUGAAUGACUCCAGGAAACCACCAUGAUGUUUGUUCUUCAGAACCACAGAAAUCAAUUUAUAUGAUCUGUGACCAGCAUUAAAAAAAACAAAACAGAACAGAAUAUAAACAACCUGUGUCCAUUCAUUGCACAUGGUUUUCAUGCCUUCCCAGCUCAGAUCAAGCUUGAGACAAGUUACCCAGCACCUAAACUGAAAGGAAACAGCACACCUGCAAAACUACAUCUGAAAUCGUUUAUUCUUCGUAACCACUAGUUGGGGGUACCUCCAGACUCUCGCACUUUCAGAGAAAAAGAGAAUUCCACGUACCCUUCAUCCAGUUUCUGCCAAUGGUUACAUCUUGCAUAACUACAGUGCAAUGGCAAUAUCAGGAAAUUGACAUCGGUACAAUGUGCGUAUGUCAUUUUAUCCCAUGCUACAGAUUUGUGUAACCACCAUCACAAUUAAGAUACAAAACUAUUCCAUCACAAUAAAUAUCUCAUGCAUGCUACCCCUUUAUAGUUACACCUGUCUCUCUGUCCCGCACCAUUCCUUACCCCCGCUAAACACUAGUUUUUCUUCAUCUCUAUUAUAUUGUCAUUUUGAGAAUGCUAUAUGAAUGCAAUCAUCUAGUAUGUGACCUUUUGAGAUUGGCUUUUUUUCUUACUGGGCAGAAUCCUCUUAAGAUCCAUUCAAAUUGUUGCAUGUUUCAAGUUCAGUCUUUUUAGUGCUGAGUGGUAUUCCAUGGUGUGGAAGUAUCACUGUUUGUUUAACCAUUCACCUGUUGAAGUACAUCUGAGGAGUUUCUGGCCGUUUGCUAUUAUAAAUAAAGCUGCUAUGAACAAUCAUGUCUAGGUUUUUCUGUGGUCCUAAGUUUUCAUUUCUCUGGGAUAAAUUCUCAGGAGUGUGAUUGUUGGGUCAUAUGAUAAAUAUAGGUUUAGUUUAAUUUUGUUUUUUUAAAGAAGCUACCACAUUAUUUUUAAGAAACUGAUGAGUCUAAGAAACUGCCAAAUCAUAUGGUGUAAAAGUGGAUGUACCAGUUUGUACUUCCACCAGCAAGGUAUUAGAGAUACAGUUUUUCCACAAACUCAUAAACAUUUGGUAAUGUCACUAUUUUUUAUUUGAGCUCUUCUGAUAAGGGUGUAGGGAUAUCUCUUCAUAAUCUUUUAAAGAUUUUUUAAAAUAUGAUUUUUAGUAGUUGGGGUUAUCUUCCACCAGCAUAUAUUUGAGAUAAAUGGUUUUCUGUACCCUCGUAACCAAUAACCAUUGUUGCCUGUUGAAUGAUUUUUCCUCAACAAUUCCAUUCUCUCUGUACUAUUGAGUUAUUACCUGGCCAGAGAAAAUAAUCUACAGGUUGUCUUUUUCUUUACAUAAAGUAUUCAUAUCUUGCCUUUGUGUUACCUACUCUGUCAUAGACUUUCAGGGAGAGAGAGAGAGAGAGAGAGAAAGUGGGAGAGAGAGAGAGAGAGAGAGAGAGAGAGAGAG